GUGGACGUCGCAAAGAAUGUGUGUUAGCGCGCCUCAGCUCGUCCACUACGCAGCGGCAUGUAUGCGGGGAGUAACAUCGUCGACGCAGCACCGGCAACUUGGAGAGUGCUUCGCGACCGCGUCGUACCAUUCAAAAGUGGCGAGGCUGUGACCCAUAACAGUGCCUACAUAACGGAGGAGCCACCAGACCCCUUGGCUAUGCCUGCCGUAGUGCAACGUAUAAUCUGGAUGGUCGGGUCAGGUAUGUAUGUAGUGUACGUGUUCCAAAAAGUAGCAUCUUGGUAUCAUUUGUGGAUAAGUUAAUCGACAUUAGUCAACACAGCUUACUAAAUAGGCCAAAUAUUUAUGCAACUUGCUGUUUAUUUGUGUUCAUAGCUGUUAUGCACACCUUAUUGUGUUCUAUAUAAAAGUAGACCUAACAUGUCCUGAUGUUAAGUAUUUUUUCUUGCAUCAAUCGCUUGGCUGCAAGUUACAUUUUAAUUUUGCUUAGUACACACUAUUUAUUACUUUUCAUUUUGGUUUUCUUGUUUUGAAACUGUUUCCUAUGCUGUAGGAUUUUAUUUCCGAAUUUUUAGUGUUUACACUACACUCUUGUGCAGCUUCUGCGCAUAUAAGAAUUCAAAGUGUAAUGGGCCAGAUAUGUCAUAGGUGUAAGCACACAGUGUGCUUACCAUUGUUUAACAUUCAUAUUCACGAUUAUUUCUGUCUUGUUCCAAGAAUAACUGCCACUGGAAAAUACACAUUUGAUGAGCUCAAACUUCUUGAAAUGAUACAUUAAGGCCAGUAUUCACUGUGCUGCAGUUACUACAGUUCUGAAGUGUUUUCUAGUAAGCCUGCUUUUUUCUCUCCCAUUUUUUAAUAUUCUUGGCAAGCUAUCCCCAUUCAUGCAAGUAGGCAUUGUAGGAGUUGCGAGUCUAUGUCCAGUUACAUUAUUUUUCUCUUUUUUUCAAGUCAAUACAGCAUAGAACACAUAGCUAACUGGUAGGUAGUUCAUUGUAUUGAUGCUCUAUUAUUAAAAAAGCACACUAUUUCGCACAUGUCUGCUUGCUCUUGCCAUGUUUGCUGGUUAUUGCAAUGUUGCUCGUCAAAUGAAUUUGAUUUCAACUACACCAUACAGAACAGUCUUAUUGGCUUUAGUGUAAUUUUAAUAGUGACAAUCAACCAACAAGCCCUAAUUCUACAGCUGUCAAGAAGUAUUUCUAAUACUUUGGGGUCCCUUUCCAUAUUUUCUGUUUCAUCCUGUGUAUUUGGUCAGCACAGUGGGCAUUCGGUCUAUUCAUUCUGCUUGGCGCUGCUCAGGUCAGAAUAUGUUCAACCUGCAAGUCCAAAUUAUAAUGAUAUGUGUACGACUUCAUUUACUGGCUGGAUGAAUUGAAAAAGCAUUAUAUCUGAUUCUAAGAGUAUUUUUGUCAAAAAUACCAGUGUCUAGAAUAAGCAUCAUAUGCACUGCAACUCUUAUAGUUUUAAGUUAGGUAGGCAAAUAUCUAUAGGUAUGUAUACUUGUGCAUAUACUUUCUACAUAUUGGCUAGUGUUUUAGCUACACGAAACGGCCUAUGUUGUCACUACUCUCAAGUCAAAUUUAUGGUUGAUGCGCCACUUGUUUUUGUUGUGCACUUACACUUCUGUGGUGUCAUAAGCACUGUAGAUGCCUGACAGCUGAAGUAUUGCAGCAGUAGACAGUUUUAGUUUAGCGUACGCUAUGUCAUUGCGUACGAUAUAAAAUAGUGGGUCAUCACUGCGCAUGUGCAGAACGCUAUCCGACCUCUAGCGUAUGCAUGCUAUUUCUCAGAUUUAGCAUUACCGUCUGUGCGUGGUUUGCGUAGUUUACGUUAAACAUGGCGGUGGUCCCCGCUGCCCACUUCGAAUUGAAUUUGGCGUGGCUUUUGCAGAAUUCGCUUCGUUCGUAGAAAAUGACUGUGUAAGCAACUUUCGCUUACCGUCAGGCCGCUUUGACAACAGUGUAAUAUGGUUAACCUUGUGGAGUUUUCGAGAUCGCUUCUCAUUUCGAACGACACGAAGCCUAACGAGGGAAACUGACAUAUAUCAGCGCCACCUGUCAGUGAAGUCGAGAGAUAGGUGCGACGAUGGCAUAUGGCCUCUGAGAUCGGAAGAUCUCGCAGGCCAACUAAAACUAAUAAAUGUGUGCUGUUUAGCGUACGCUGUACUAUAGCGUAUAGGCGUACGCUAUUAGUUGCAUAUGCUAUACUAAAACUGUCUAGUGUUGAAGCUAACUGGCACUUACUAUUGCUACAGUAUGCCAACAGAUACCUAUCACCGUAUUUGUGCAUUUUCUAAGAACCAGCCGUGUUUGCUAGGUGAAAUUUGUAGUGUACGUAUGAGUUUGCCGGUCAGUUCAUGUAACUUUUCAGGAUAGAAUUUACAUGGGGAGGAAAAGGGUACCAUACAACAUGACUGCUGCUAACUGACCAUUUAUUUUGAUGGAAGGAUUAAAAAUAGCAACACUGGAUGUGUGCUUAUGUUGUGCACAAUUUCGUUCAGAGGGAAGGCGUAAGUUGUAAUAUAAAGGCAUAAAAUCACAAUAAAUGAUAUUUGUGUAAAAAGGAAAGUAAAUAUGGGCGCAGACUAACUUCAAUCACUUGUCAUCUAGAAAGGACGCCUUUUAUUUCAUGAAUUGAUCAUGGGGUCUGGCUCGCAUGUCUUGUUUAUGUGGUAUGCCUCACUGAUCUCUCGUGUCAAUUUUUCACCGUAGGUGAAAACAGAUGAUCUUAAUUCAGCCUGAAGUCCUAUCGCGGCAAUGCACGGCCAAACUGGAUGAGCAAGCUGGUCUCUUGAGUGAAAUAUGGGAACUUAUUUGGCACAUUUAGUUACCGGCCAGUCUGCUCUGUGUACAUUUGACCAGUUGUGAAAAAAAUACAGUGAGCUGCCUCUCAUACACACUAGACAAAUUUGGUGGUAUCUUUAACCAAGCAAACCUCCCUUGCCUGCUCGCCUUUCUGAAUUCACUUGUGAACUGUCGUGCAUAUCCUGCCUACUUUAUUUUUCGCUGGAAAUGUGCGUGCAUAGCAGUCCACAUGAGAAUUGAGGCUUGCUGAGGUAAAGAUGCAACCCAAUUUGUCUUGUGUUCGUCAGGGGUAGCAUAGUCUGUUCCUUUGAUCAUGUAUAUAUUCAGUCAAAUGUACAUGGGGCAGACUGGCUGGUGCCUCAACAUGUGCCCAGGAGAGCACCAUAAUUCACUCAAGGGAGAAAUAUGUUCGUGCCACUUGACAAUGCACUGACACGACUGGUGCUGCGCGCCAAAUUUCGAUUGUUCCUCUAUGGCAACCAAUUGACCAUCAAAAUCAGUGACGAAUACCACAUUAAGGAAAUGGGACAUGUGUCAGUUGUAGAGAUACAAGCUAUACUUUGGCUACCACUAAUUGCUGAGAGGGUGAUUAGAGACAGUUACUAGGAGAGCUCUUCAUCUGGUUGGCUGGCACAAACUGUACCUGUUUCUGCACUGCAAAAAGCUGAAAGACUCUACUUGGGCUCACUGAAACUGCUCUUUAAAAUAAAUUUGAAACAGGGUAAGCUAUAUAAUUUUGUGUGCAGCCCCCACACUAAUGCCACUGGACGUACCUGCCAUUUCCGGUUACAUUUAUCGCACGGUUAGACAUAUUUCUUUUUGCUACCAGCACUUAUUGACAUAAAACCGAUGGCCUAUUGCACAAGCAAUAAAAGCACAUCAAAACGCUUGGAGUAAUGUGAAAUUUAGGUAGGUUCAUGUAAACAAAGCAAAUUAAUUGCUUUAAUAAGAAAGUUGUGCAGACUGGGUAGGAAUAGAACCUGGAGUGUGAAAGGAGCACGCUUCCCUUACGCCACGGCAGCUCUUUGGUUCUGGCUGACUUAAGGUGUGCCUAGUGCGUGUCACACUGUGCACGUCACAUUGCAGCCAUUUGGUUGACUAAAGGUGCUUUCACGUUCCCACACGCAAGCUGUCUUAAUGUGUCUCUGCCAUCUUUUAUUGCAGGUACACCUAGGAAAUGUUGUAUACAUUGGCAACGAUAACUGGGGCCUGCUCCAGUGCCAUCGCCGGGAUUCCCUGUUCUGCAAAGAACUGACAUAACUGAUGUGGGGAGCCCUGGCGCUCGGUGUAGGAGUAUCACAGGGGCUCCUUGUCGAUGCUUGAAGGACGGCAAUGCUGUUGAGAAGCCGACAUUGAGCCCCGAUAAAUUGGAAGCUGUGGGUAGUUACCGCAUUAUUGACUUGGAAACCAGUGAGGUCUGGAUGCAAGUGAAGCUACCGAGGGAGGCAUGUGUGCAUCACUUGUGCUGCUGGCCAUCCUCUGCAAAAGUGAUGGCUGGCAGUCAGUGCUUGGAUGACUUUCUGUUACUCUACGCCUUGGGCUGUGUUGACUACUUCACACUUGCUGCCAUGUCUGCAAGCUUAGGCAAAAAGACCGGCUGGAUGCUUGGCAGGAGAUAGUAUCCAACCGCAGUGUUACUGUGUUGUGUUGUACAUUACAAAGUGAUGGAGGACAGUAUUUGUGCUGUUAUUAAGAAGUAUAAAUUGUGUUCUGCCAUUGAAAUAAGGGAACUCGACACAAAGCAAAAGAUUUCGAAGUCUGACCUACAUGGGAAAGCAAAAUAUAUUGUGUUGUAGUUGUAGCUGUUAGUAGAGUCUUAAUAUGCGAUAGAAGACCUUGAUGUUUAAUAGAAAAUAUAUUUAAGUGUGUUAUCAGUGUGUUAUCAGUGUUUAAGUUACUGUUAUGUGUCAUUUGUUUGCCAGGAUGAUGUAAGCAGACAGUAAAUAAAUGCAUGGUUUGAGAUUAUAACCAGGUUUGUCUAUGGCAUUCACUAUUAUUUAAGGUGGACCAAUGCAUAUUCAUGGGUGCAUAUUCAACCACCACAUUCCUCCUGCACAAACAAUUCCUACAUACUAGCGUUUGGUCUUAGCAGCUGAUGUUGGCUAUUAUACAAUUUCUUGAAAGCACAUGCAGCUACCGACACAUGAUUUUUAGAGCAGUAAGUCGGAAGCAAAGACUGAUUUUUUUCUGUGGUCUAAGCUUAAAUGAUAUGUUUAAGGAAAGGAACAUUUGUGGAAUAUAUUUACUUUCCUGCUGCGAGAACCUUUAUACGAGAACCUCUGCACAUUGGACGUGCAUGCUGCUUCUCUUGCUGUUAUAGCCAAAAUGAAAAAUUGUUCUUAUGAACCACUUCGCAGCUUUGCAUUGUGCACUUUUACUUGCAGUUAGCAUUUAUAUGCUGUGCUAUGGACAACAGCAAGACAAGUCAGGCAAACCACCAUGUGAAACACUUUAAAGAUUCUGCUUAGGGCGCGUUGGUACUAUAUAUAGUGCAAGACAGAUGAGCUGCCCGUACAGCAGCGCUGUCAGCAUUACACGGCUGACAGCACCGCAAACCCUUAAAUUUAUAUUUGUUUGACAGAUAAUGCAUUCUAGUAGUUUUCAUGUCGUAUAUGCAUGAAAAUGUAAACAAGAACUGGUGAAAACAGCAUUAUUUUACGUGUAUAGUGUACCUUACCACAAGGUAAGGUACACAGAUAUCUUGGUAAGCUACACAAGAUAUAUACGUAAUAAACGCUGUUUUUCACUAAUUCUUGUUUCACAUUUUCAUGCAUAUGCAACAUGAAAACUACUAGAGUAAAUUAUCUGUCAAGCAAAUAUAAAUUUAAGGGUUUGCGGUGCUGUCAGCCGUGUCAUGCUGACAGCACUGCUGUUAUGCAUGUCUACAAAUAUUCUGCAAUGUCAGUUGAGUGUUGCUUGAACGUCACAUACGUACGUUGCCUGAAAGCUCAAGUGACAAAGGCAACAUCCACAUUACGUUGCCAGGAAGUUCUGUUAACGUUAUGUUAACGUCGUGAAUGUGCUGCUCAACGCUGCCACAACGUUACGACCCAACGUUGUGUGGCGAUCAAAAAAGAGGACAUUAGCAGCAUGUAGGCAACGUUAUACGCCGACAUUUGUGCACAUUCAGAGAACGUUAUGGCAACAUUUUGCGUUA